AUUGAACGCUGGCGGCAGGCCUAACACAUGCAAGUCGAGCGAGCGGCGGACGGGUGAGUAAUGUCUGGGAAACUGCCUGAUGGAGGGGGAUAACUACUGGAAACGGUAGCUAAUACCGCAUACCAUCAGAUGUGCCCAGAUGGGAUUAGCUCGUGGGUGGGGUAAUGGCUCACCUAGGCGACGUUCCCUAGCUGGUCUGAGAGGGUGACCAGCCACACUGGAACUGAGACACGGUCCAGACUCCUACGUGAGGCAGCAGUGGGGAAUAUUGCACAAUGGGCGCAAGCCUGAUGCAGCCAUGCCGCGUGUGUGAAGAAGGCCUUCGGGUUGUAAAGCACUUUCAGCGUGGAGGCGUUACCCGCAGAAGAAGCACCGGCGAACUCCGUGCCAGCAGCCGCGGUAAUUC
rnacentral:rRNA from 1 species